CUCCCUCUGAAAUCAAUAAAAAUAUACUUUGCUGCCCUGCGGCCCCUGUGCCUCCAGGGCGCAGAGGAAGUGGCUAUUUCCCGGCUCAGUGCUCACAGCGGGCACGAAGAAUGGUUUGUAGCCUGACAUUC